UGAAAAUUUUAUCUAUAAGUGCUCAAAGUUACUAUUUGAUUGACACAAACGGUGCAUGGAUUUUUUUACAUUAUAAAUUGAUCAAACAAUUUCCUCUUUGCUACAAGUACGUAUAAAAGAGAGAAAAAAAUGGCUACAAUUCACAAAUUUGUUUAUGUUAUGAUCCUAAUUGUUUUCCAACUUCUUGUCGUAACCGAAUGCUUACCACAUCGCCAAUGUACAGUGGACUCAGACUGUCCAAAUAUUUGUCACCCACCUAAAGUUCCCCGAUGCUUCUACUAUCAGUGUUUCUGUCAUAUAAUAUACAUAGAAUAGAAGCUUAUUAAUAAUAUUAUGCAAGUAUUGUCCCCACUGUUUACUUUUACAAAAUAUGGAGAACAAAUAUGUCACUGCAAUAUUAAAUGUACUGCUUCAAUAAAUAAAGAUAAUACAAUGAUGUAAAAUAAUAAAUAAAUAAAUAAUUAAAUAAAGGCAACAUUUAUGAUUAUAUAAAAUAAUAAUCAUUUACUCUACUUCUACAUUGAACAUAUGGUAAUGACAUGUUUGUUUUUUACGAA